AGCAGCCGCGGUAAUUCCAGCUCCAAUAGCGUAUAUUAAAGUUGUUGCAGUUAAAAGCUCGUAGUUGAAUUUCGGGGUUAGUAGGUUGGUCAUGCCUCUGGUAUGUACUGGUCUCACUGAUUCCUCCUUCCUGAUGAACCUUAAUGCCAUUUAUUUGGUGUUUUGGGGAAUUUGGACUGUUACUUUGAAAAAAUUAGAGUGUUUAAAGCAAGCUAACGCUUGAAUACAUUAGCAUGGAAUAAUGAAAUAGGACGUUCGAUCCUAUUUUGUUGGUUUCUAGGAUUGACGUAAUGAUUAAUAGGGAUAGUUGGGGGCAUUAGUAUUCAAUUGUCAGAGGUGAAAUUCUUGGAUUUAUUGAAGACUAACUACUGCGAAAGCAUUUGCCAAGGAUGUUUUCAUUAAUCAAGAACGAAAGUUAGGGGAUCGAAGACGAUCAGAUACCGUCGUAGUCUUAACCAUAAACUAUGCCGACUAGGGAUCGGAUGAUGUUAAUUUUUUAAUGACUCAUUCGGCGCCUUAC
rnacentral:misc_RNA from 1 species